rnacentral:misc_RNA from 1 species
GAACGCACCUUGCGCCCCUUGGUAUUCCGAGGGGCAUGCCUGUUUGAGUGUCAUUAAAUUCUCAACUCCGAUUUGAUUUGUUUCUAAUCAGAGCUUGGACUUGGAGCGUGCUGGCGUCUAGUCGGCUCCUCUCAAAUGCAUCAGCGGAAUCUAACCUUUGGUUUCCGGACGUCGGUGUGAUAAUAAAAGUUGCGCCGUCUUUCGACUUCAAAGUCCGCUUAUAAUGGUCUUCGGACGAACUCUUAUGUCAAAUUUGACCUCAAAUCAGGUAGGACUACCCGCUGAACUUAAG